UGGGGAAUUUUGGACAAUGGGCGAAAGCCUGAUCCAGCAAUGCCGCGUGUGUGAAGAAGGCCUUCGGGUUGUAAAGCACUUUUGUCCGGAAAGAAAUCCUUGGCCCUAAUACAGUCGGGGAUGACGGUACCGGAAGAAUAAGCACCGGCUAACUACGUGCCAGCAGCCGCGGUAAUACGUAGGGUGCAAGCGUUAAUCGGAAUUACUGGGCGUAAAGCGUGCGCAGGCGGUUUGCUAAGACCGAUGUGAAAUCCCCGGGCUCAACCUGGGAACUGCAUUGGUGACUGGCAGGCUAGAGUAUGGCAGAGGGGGGUAGAAUUCCACGUGUAGUAGUGAAAUGCGUAGAGAUGUGGAGGAAUACCGAUGGCGAAGGCAGCCCCCUGGCCAAGUACUGACGCUCAUGCACGAAAGCGUGGGGAGCAAACAGGAUUAGAUACCCUGGUAGUCCACGCCCUAAACGAUGUCAACUAGUUGUUGGGGAUUCAUUUCCUUAGUAACGUAGCUAACGCGUGAAGUUGACCGCCUGGGGAGUACGGUCGCAAGAUUAAAACUCAAAGGAAUUGACGGGGUCAUAGCUGUUUCCU
rnacentral:rRNA from 1 species